rnacentral:rRNA from 1 species
CGGCCGCGUCGACGGGCAGCAAGCACGCGAGUGUGAGCUAAUCUCCAAAAGCCGUCUCAGUUCGGAUUGUUCUCUGCAACUCGAGAGCAUGAAGGCGGAAUCGCUAGUAAUCGCGGAUCAGCAUGCCGCGGUGAAUACGUUCCCAGGCCUUGUACACACCGCCCGUCACACCAUGGGAGUUGGAUUCACCCGAAGGCGUUGCGCUAACUCGCAAGAGAGGCAGGCGACCACGGUGGGUUUAGCGACUGGGGUGAAGUCGUAACAAGGUAGCCGUAGGGGAACCUGCGGCUGGAUCACCUCCGGUCGACGCGGCCG